rnacentral:rRNA from 1 species
UACGUAGGGGGCAAGCGUUGUCCGGAAUCAUUGGGCGUAAAGAGCGUGUAGGCGGCCUGGUAAGUCCGCUGUGAAAGUCCAGGGCUCAACCCUGGGAUGCCGGUGGAAACUGUCAGGCUCGAGUCCGGAAGAGGCGAGUGGAAUUCCUGGUGUAGCGGUGAAAUGCGCAGAUAUCAGGAGGAACACCAAUGGCGAAGGCAGCUCGCUGGGACGGUACUGACGCUGAGACGCGAAAGCGUGGGGAGCAAAUAGG